GGCAUUAAGAGGUCCCUUCUUGCUAUCCCCGGCCCAAGCACAUACUAUAUUGCCCAUGCCCAGCUAGCAAUGAUGUGCUUUGGUCAGCAGUGUCGCCUGUCCCUUUUUGCGCAUCGUUUGGUGCAUUCUGGAGGUUGUUUUUAGGGGUGUAAGUGAGACAAGCCAACUCGCGAGAAACUCGAGACCGACUCGGAAAAUACUCGAAAUCGACUCAACCUUAAUCGAGCCGAGCUCAAGCUCGAGCUACUCGAGUACCUUAUCGAGCCGAGCUCGAGUACAAAAAUACUCAGCUCGUAAGGUUCGCGAGCUUAGUCGAGCUUAGUGUAAUUUACAUAUAUGUCAUUUCUUUAUAAUUGUUCAUUUAUAAGAUAUAUGUCAUUUCUUUAUAAUUAUUCAUUUAUGACAUAUAUGGUUGAUGUUAUAUUGAUAUUAGGUGAUUAAUAGUGGUUUUUUUGGUAGUUUGGAUAUUUACAUGUGGAAUGUUUAAUAUUUCUUACUUAAUUUAGUGAUUUUUAUUUUUUAAAAUAUUAGUUGAGCCGAGUCGAGCCGAGCUCGAUACUAUCGAGUAUUUCACGAGCCCGAGCUCGAGCUUAAAAUCAAGGCUCGAGUCGAGUGCGAGCCGAGUUUCGAGCUCGAGUAUUUUAGUCGAGCCGAACUUCGAACUUGGUAGUAUUCAGGUCGACUCGGCUCGUUUACACCCCUAGUUGUUUUAGCUUAUGGUUGCUUGCAUGGCCUUGUGCCAAGUGGGUGGCUGUUAGUUUGAUGAUCUUCGGGGAUGUCUACCCUAAAGGUGCAUGAGUGGUGUUUGGUUUGUAACGGAUGGUUGGAUGUCUGCUUGAGCAGCAACUUCCAUGCGUUCUUACAUCUUCACUUGUGUUACAACUUCCAUGCCUUGAACAUGGUGGGUUCCUGUGUUGCAUACCUAAUUGAUGACAUUGUGUUGUUUGAACAAAGUUUCCUUUCGUUAAGCAUCGAUUGCGGUGCCAACAAACCCUGAAGCUCGUAUUAAACUACAAAGUGGCGUGAUAUGUGAAGCCAAAAUAAAGGUUCAUAUAGUCAAUUUCAUAUUCAUAAUUGAACCUUUUGGAGAAA
rnacentral:lncRNA from 1 species